rnacentral:rRNA from 1 species
GACGAACGCUGGCGGCGUGCUUAACACAUGCAAGUCGAACGGAAAGGCCCGGCCUUGGUGGGGUGCUCGAGGGGCGAACGGGUGAGUAACACGUGAGUAACCCGCCCCUGACUGUGGGAGAACUUCAGGAAACUGGGGCUAAUACGGGAUAGGAGCUCCUGCUGCAGGGUGGGGGCGGGUAAGUUUCGGUGGUUGGGGGUGGACUCGCGGCUUAUCAGGUUGUUGGUGGGGUAGUGGCUUACCAAGGCUUGGACGGGUAGCCGGCCUGAGCGGGUGACCGGCCACGUUGCGCCUGGGCUACGGCCCAGCCUCCUCCGGGACGCAGCGGUGGAGAAUAUUGCACUAUGGGCGGAGCCCUGACCCAGCCCCGCCGCGUCCGGGAUGACGGCCUUCCGGUUGUAAUCCACUUUCGCCUGUGCCGAAGCGUUAGUGACGGUACUGGGUAAAGAAGCACCGGCUAACUACGUG